UCUAAUAUGGCAGAUUAUAUGUAAUGGAUUUAAACCCCAUUUAUAA
rnacentral:tRNA from 4 species